AAGAAUUGUGGUAUGCAGCCUAACCUGACAUAACGAUCUAUUCCGAAACCGCUUAUAGAAAAAGGAUAGUAAAUUGAAAUUGCAAUUAUAAUGAAAAUGAUUUUAAAUAUUUUAAAGUGAAACUCUAUUACCAGUUUAUUGAUGUUUUUUCCGUAGAAACAUAUUUGAAUCAGAAGAUGCAUCUUCAUAUUUCGAAACCCAAGUAAAUAA
rnacentral:lncRNA from 1 species